rnacentral:rRNA from 1 species
CCCUACGGGCGCAGCAGUGAGGAAUAUUGGUCAAUGGGAGAGAUCCUGAACCAGCCAAGCCGCGUGAGGGAAGACGGCCCUAUGGGUUGUAAACCUCUUUUGUCGGAGAACAAAACCCGGGACGAGUCCCGGACUGCGUGUAUCCGAAGAAAAAGCAUCGGCUAACUCCGUGCCAGCAGCCGCGGUAAUACGGAGGAUGCGAGCGUUAUCCGGAUUUAUUGGGUUUAAAGGGUGCGUAGGCGGUCCGUUUAGUCAGCGGUAAAAUUGCUGGGCUCAACCCCCCCGAGCCGC